GUACAUAACCUCUCUGAACUUCAAUUUCCUCAUGUGUAAAAUAGAGAUCAUAGGUGUCCUAAUAUGAUAGUUGUGAAGAUGAAAUAAAAAGUGUUUCAAAAAGUGGUAGCUAGUAUAAUAAUAAUUACUAUUAUUAUAUCAUCAUAAUUAUUAUUUUUAGGGCUGAUGUGACACUCUGAGAAGAGUACCUAAGAGAGGCUUGACUCAGUGUUAAGGUUAGAUUAGAGAUGAUCUAAUCUAAUUACUUCAUUUUACAGAUGGAGAAACUGAGGCCCAACAGAUAGCUUGACCCGUUUGCAUGAGGUUGAACUGAGGAAUUGCAAAGAUGAGUUUUUGCAGGAGACUGAGCCUGGAGCCAGUUAGCCUCGCUAAGAGCAUUCAGAAAUUAUGAGGCCACAAAAAUGCUUUUUGGCUUGAAGCGUCCAAAUGGGCCCCACCCAUCUCACAGACAGUCAGGCCGCCUUCUCCUUGCUACUGGCCCCUGUGUUUCCAGGCUGUAUUUCUCAAGUUCAUCUUCUAUGCCUGGCAUUGUACCAAGGACCCUGGGCACUAAGGAUGCAGCAGGAAAUGCAGCAGACUUCAUUUCUGCUCUUACAGGGCUUACAUUUGAGUGUUUUCUCUUCAAGAACCUGGACGUUUAGUCUAGGUUGUGUCUUCCGUGAGAAAGGCUGGCGUUGGGUAAGGCUGGAGAGAAACAGAUCUGAAGCCAAUCCCUGAGCCUCCUGGGCCAUACACUGUCCCACUAUUUCAAAAGAAACUCAGUGACGAGAGGGCAGAGGGAGAAUAUGUCCAGCAUCUCAGCCUCAUUGUUUUCCACUUGGCAGCCCCCUCCAGUUCAGGGAUUCAUUUGAAGAAGCCCACAGGGACGGGUGACACUGAGGAAACAAAACCCAGGCCCCCCGGCCUCCGACUGAGCCGUGCAGAGCAUGCUGGGAGAUCACCUCCACCUGAGGAGCACAAAAGACCCCAGGAGUGGAGGAAGCUGGCCUGAGGCCAACUGGAUGUAGCAGACUUGCUGAGCCCAAGGAGGGAGGUCUGGUGAUGGAGCCUCGAGUACAUAUCCUUCCAAUCCUAAGAAAAAACACAACAGGAAACUUAAAUGAAUGGCUCAAAGAAAUUGCAAACGUUUGCCCAGAUCAAGACCUAAGAUGUUAUUAGCUCCUUAGAAGUCUCGCUCCUGCCCUCUCUAAAUUGUUAUCCUUCAUCCAUACCUUUCCCCAAAAGUGGCCUCUUUCUGGAUUUUUAACAACAGUUUUGUCUGCUUUUUCACUUAAUAUAAAUAAAAUGCAUUCUUUUGUGGUUGAUUUAUUUUCCCGAACACUGUGUAUGUGAGCUUCCUUUCUGUUGUGUCUGAAGCUUUUGUUUGUUUAUCAUUGAAUGUCAUUUUGUUGUAUGAUGAUAUGAUUAUUGAUUGAUUCUUCUGUUGAGGGGUAUUUGAUUUAUUUGCGGGUUAAUGUGAAUAGUAUCAUUAUGAAUAUUCUUUUCCCUCUCUUGGUACACUCAUUUCUGUUAGGUAUGUACCUAGGAAGGGAAUUGCUCAGUUAAAGCAUGCAUUUAUAUUUUUAUGUAUGUCAAAAUGUUUUCAAAAGUGUUUGUACCAAAUUAUAUUCUUACCAUCAAUGUGUAAGAGUUCAGGUUGUUCCACAUACUUGGCAGCACUUGGUAUUGUCUGUAUUUUGAAUUUAUAGUAGUUCUGGUAAUUGGGUAGUAGUAUCUCAUUGAGGCUGUAACUAGCAUUACUAUGAUUAUUAUUGAGGCUGACCAACAGUUUAUAUGUUUGCCAUACUUUUGGAGAUCUUUUAUGAAAUGCCUGUUUGAAUCUUCUGCCCAUUUUUUUAAAAUUGGGUUAUCUCUCUUUUUCUUACUGAUUUCUGAAGCUGUUUACAUAUUCUGAAAAUGAGCCUUUACUAGGUGAUAAGUGUUGCAAGUAUCUUUUUCUUUUCUGUUACUUGACUUUUCACUGUUUUAAUAGUGUGUCUUUGUGAACAGAAAUUCGUAUUUUAUAUACACAUACACACACACACACACACACACACACACACACACACACACACAUAUAUUUCCUUUAAAUUUGAUUUUUGGGGACUGUCUUUUGUUUUUGUUUAAGAAAUCAUUCCCUG
rnacentral:lncRNA from 10 species